rnacentral:rRNA from 1 species
UGUCAACCUACCCCAUGGACGGGAAUAACCUCGGGGAAACUGAGAAUAAUGCCCGAUAGAACAUUAUGCCUGGAAUGGUUUAUGUUCCAAAUGAUUUAUCGCCGUAGGAUGGGACUGCGGCCUAUCAGUUUGUUGGUGAGGUAAUGGCCCACCAAGACUAUUACAGGUACGGGCUCUGAGAGGAGUAGCCCGGAGAUGGGUACUGAGACACGGACCCAGGCCCUAUGGGGCGCAGCAGGCGAGAAAACUUUGCAAUGUGCGAAAGCACGACAGGGUUAAUCCGAGUGGUUUCUGCUAAAGAAACCUUUUGUCAGUCCUAGAAACACUGAUGAAUAAGGGGUGGGCAAGUUCUGGUGUCAGCCGCCGCGGUAAAACCAGCACCUCAAGUGGUCAGGAUGAUUAUUGGGCCUAAAGCAUCCGUAGCCGGCUCUGUAAGUUUUCGGUUAAAUCUGUACGCUCAACGUACAGGCUGCCGGGAAUACUGCAGAGCUAGGGAGUGGGAGAGGUAGACGGUACUCGGUAGGAAGGGGUAAAAUCCUUUGAUCUAUUGAUGACCACCUGUGGCGAAGGCGGUCUACCAGAACACGUCCGACGGUGAGGGAUGAAAGCUGGGGGAGCAAACCGGAUUAGAUACCCGGGUAGUCCCAGCUGUAAACUAUGCAAACUCAGUGAUGCAUUGGCUUGUGGCCAAUGCAGUGCUGCAGGGAAGCCGUUAAGUUUGCCGCCUGGGAAGUACGUACGCAAGUAUGAAACUA